AUUGAACGCUGGCGGCAGGCCUAACACAUGCAAGUCGAGCGGGGUUUUCGGACCUAGCGGCGGACGGGUGAGUAAUGCGUAGGAAGCUGCCCGAUAGAGGGGGAUACCAGUUGGAAACGACUGUUAAUACCGCAUAAUGUCUACGGACCAAAGUGUGGGACCUUCGGGCCACAUGCUAUCGGAUGCGCCUACGUGGGAUUAGCUAGUUGGUGAGGUAAUGGCUCACCAAGGCGACGAUAUCUAGCUGGUUUGAGAGGAUGAUCAGCCACACUGGAACUGCGACACGGUCCAGACUCCUACGGGAGGCAGCAGUGGGGAAUAUUGGACCAUGGGCGCAAGCCUGAUCCAGCCAUGCCGCGUGUGUGAAGAAGGCCUUCGGGUUGUAAAGCACUUUCAGCGAGGAGGAAGGGUGGUGUGUUAAUAGCACACCAUUUUGACGUUACUCGCAGAAGAAGCACCGGCUAACUCUGUGCCAGCAGCCGCCGCAGUAA
rnacentral:rRNA from 1 species